GGGAGAAAGGCGAUGGCAAACCCAGACAGCAUCUUAAAAAGCAGAGACAUCACCUUGCCAACAAAGGUCCGUAUAGUUAAAGCCAUGGUUUUCCCAGUAGUGAUGUAUGGAAGUGAAAGCUGGACCAUAAAGAAGGCUGAUCGCCGAAGAAUUGAUGCUUUUGAAUUAUGGUGCUGGAGGAGACUCUUGAGAGUCCCAUGGACUGCAAGAAGAUCAAACGUAUCCAUUCUUAAGGAAAUCAGCCCUGAGUGCUCACUGGAAGGACAGAUCGUGAAGCUGAGGCUCCAAUACUUUGGCCACCUCAUGAGAAGACCCUGAUGUUGGGAAAGAUGGAGGGCACAAGGAGAAGGGGACGACAGAGGACAAGAUGGUUGGACAGUGUUCUUGAAGCUACCAACAUGAGUUUGACCAAACUGCGGGAGGCAGUGGAAGACAGAAGUGCCUGGCGUGCUCUGGUCCAUGGGGUCACGAAGAGUCGGACACGACUAAACGACUAAACAACAACAACAACAACAACAACACUAACUGGCAGCAACUCUCCACAGUUUUGAACAGCAGUCUCUCACAGCCCUAGCAGGAGAUGCUGGGAACUGAAAUUUGGACAUUCUGCAUGCAGAGCAGAUGCUUUGCUCCUGAGCUAUAAUCCUGUCCCUUAACCGAAACCCACAGACCUUCUGACCGGUCUCUUCUUACAUUCCUGUGGACAAGUUACUGAUUUGACAAGUAGUACUGAAAUGGGGGCUUGACAGAUUGAUUGCUCAAAUCAAAUAAUCAAUCACAUAGUAAAGUAUAGAUUUUAAAUAGGAUCCUAUUUAGCCAAUUAACUGCCAGUUCUUUGCUUGAUUGACUAGUUAAGCACAAUAUAAAUCUUACGUGAUUGUGGUAACAAACGGACAGGUUUGAAAGAACCUGCAAGUCAUUCUACAUGCCCAGUGGGGCUUUGGGCUUGUAUUUGCCAAACAGCAACCCUACUUACCAUAUGGCAAAAUGGGUUGGAAACUGGGGAGACUCUCAAAAGCAGUUUGUGAUACAACAUUGGGGUGUGUGUCUGCACACCAAAGAUCAAGGGAGGGGAGAGUUAAAAACGUCUCUGCUGGAAUGCUUAAGCUUUUUGGAUCCCAAGUUAAUGAAUUAAGAGCGCACUUUCCCCUAAACCUCUGGUGUAUGGCAGGUACAUGGCUUAGUGUAAAUGCGAAAGGAAACACUUUAUGUAUGGAACACAUUACAGUACUCAUACACUGUGUGAAGACACAGAAAGUAAAGGGAGCUGUGUUGGCUCCUUAAAAAAGGAUCCUCAAAUUCUGAGUUAAGGUAAAUCCAUUAUUAGAUCAACCAAAAUGCCACAAAAUAAUGCACAAACUUUCUAGUUCUUCAGAACUCUUAAUCUGGCAUUUUAUCUGCUCUCACCAUUAAAUACUUGUACUAUAUGAGCAUAAAAGUCUUACAUUGUUUCCAGAAGAAGUCUGAGUUUGGGCAUCGAGGAACCUCAAAUGGGAUUCCAGAGGUGAUUGAUCAAAUAGGUCAUGAUGGUGGUAUAGAAGAGAAGAAGGCCUCUUAAGGAUAUUGGAUUUGUCAGGGUAUGGCUCUUGAAUUAUGCAAAACCUGCCUUUGCACAUAAACCACCUAUCAUCAUGAUGGGCAUAUUGAAAUAAUGAUGACCUGACCUAAACCCAUGGUUACAGCUACACUGUAUGUUUAAAGUAGUUACACCACUGUAACAGUCAUGGCUUCCCCCAAAGAAUUCUGGGAACUGUAGUUUGUCAUAGAGCUACAAUUCUUAGUACCUUUAACAAACUGCAGUCCUCAGUAUUCUUGGGGGGAAACCAUGACUGUUAAAAUGGCAUAAGAUUGAUUUAAAUGUAUGAUAUGGAUGUGAUAUUAAGCUGCACAGAUCAUUAUUUAAAUCAAUAUUUUUCCUCCUUCAAGAUGGUUCUGUUUCCAUUUCAAAAGCUGAGUUACAUUUUGCUUUUUUUUGAGGUUGGGGGAACAGGUUACAAACUGCUUUUAGAAAGAAACGAAGAUGGCAUGUCCAGGACUUGAGCUUUAUUCAGGAAAAGCAAUGUACUUGUCAGAGUGUUACCUUGGUGAAUCUCAAGUUGUUUUUUUACUUUCCCUAAUUAAGCUCCCUUUAGAGAUGGGCCCUCCAAGAUGGGGACUACAGAGAGUGCUUGGCCUUCUUGUGUCUGGAAUUGAAUUCCUAAAUUCCUCUCCUUGUCCCUACAUCAAAGAGAAGUAUAUUGAGCUGUCUGAGGCACCAAUUAUGUUAACUGGGAGCUAUUCAGAACCUUCCAUUGUGAUUUAUUGCCAAGGGAAGAAGUUUUCAGACCCAAACGAGACAGGGAAGGCUGGCUCUUUGCCCAGUUAUCAAAACUGAUUGAGAGAAGGUAUUAAAACAAUGGGCAGAUUAACAUAGUCGAUUAGCGUCCCAACAUCUUUAUCAUUGUGACCUGGGCGCCUGUCAGCUCCAGAGUGAGGUGACCAACAUGACUUAGAUGUGUUGUCCAUUAAAGGUCAUCAGUGAAAAUGGGAUCAGAUGGAUCAGUCAAGGCUAAAGUUCACAUUGUUGUGUACUGGCAAUCAUUAAGUGGUUUCAGUCAAUAAGAGUCAUUGGACCUAGAAGCAUCUGCUAUAUAGAGAAAUGGGGUUCAUAAGAGGAAUGGAAAUGGCUUGGGAGAGAAUGUGAAUGGUAGGCAUUGGUAGUUAGCAGCCCCUGGGCCAAGCUAUGCUCUUAAUGCAGUGAUGGAGAACCUGCUGUCUUUCAGAUGUUGUUGGGGUACCUAACCUACCUCACGGGGAUAUUGCAAGGCUAAAGUGGAGACCAUCCAUGCCAGCCUGAGCUCUUUGGAGAAAGGGUGAAACUCCCUCUUCUACAUACCGGUAGUCAUUCUACAUAGUCAUUAAAGAUGCAGGAGCUCUUUAUAUCUGGUUGCCCCAGCAGCAUACCUCUCUUUUCUCAUAUCAAGAAACAUAAGAAGGGCCUUUACUCUCACCAGAAGCUCAGCCUUGCCCUUGCUGGUUUUGGAAGGAGCAUUUGGAAAAGUCCCGUAUGCUCAGAGACUUUGCGCCUGCCCAUUAGGGGAAAUAGGAGGCCCCGAACAUUUAUUUUUUAGAUGUCCUUUUUAUGAGGAGGUACGCAGAGAUACCAUUGAUCCCCAGCUGGUGAGGCUUGCUGACCUUCCGGAUAAGUCUAAACUCAAUUUUUUCCUCUUAGGCAAAGACCAUAAGAUGACCUGGAUGGUUGCCAGAUUCUGCGUGCAGAUUGGCAGGCACAGACCACCCCUCCGAAACAAAUUAGUUUGCUAGGAAAACAGUCGAAGUCGGCCUCCAGGGUGUUAGGGCCAAUUUGUAUGGUAGCCCAUAUUUUUAGGUCUUUAUGUGUAUAUGGGCUUAUUUUAGAUUUUAAUCUUUAAGCUGUUGUUGUACACUGCUUUACAUGUAUAUUUUAUUCUUGUGAAAGCUUUUCAAGCUAGUCUUUGACCGUAAUAAAUUAUGAUGAUGAUGAUAUCUGGGUGCCUUAUAAGUAGAAAGCUGCCUUAUUCUAGGUCAGAUUUAUUGUCCCUCUAGCCCAGUGUUGUCUAAUACAGCCUUCCCCAACCUUGGUGCCUUCUAGAAGUUUUGAACUAUAAUUCCCACCAGUCCCAACCAGUAUGGCCAAUGGUCAGGGAUGAUGGGAAUGAUAGUUCAACAUCUCUGCAAGGCUGCAGAUAGAGGAAGGCUGAUUAUAAUGGGAGAUGCCAGGGACUGAACCUGGAACAUUCUGGGUACAAAGCAGGUGCUGCAGUCCUUCUAUGCAGCUCAUUGAUUUUUCUGACUUGUGCCUCCCUCUCCUCCCAGGAGCAUUUGGGGUGUGUGUGUGAAAGAGAGUGCGAGCACUAGAGAGGGAGAAGAUUCAGGACUGAGUGAAAAAUGUCCAAAGAGUAAUUUUUUAUGUUAUAAACUGAAAUGCAAACCCGAUGGAGAACUAUGGAAAUGAGCAGCCUUGCCUGAUCCAUGCUCUCUCCAUAUUCCUAUGCUAGCGAUAAUGAAAAGUGCCUUCAGGGAUAGGCUGGGCUUAUCAUUCAUCAGUGACACAGUCUUAAGUGGGUAAUAACUAUGGGCUCUCAUAUCUAGAAUGUAUAUAAAUUUUAGCUUCUCGGUAUAUUUGCUGCCGACUCUCUUUAAUUUAUACAAUUCCUUCCGCUUUAAACCUGUCAAUUGAUAGCAUUCAAUCAAUGAGGCUGGCUGAUAAUAAGGGUAGGAAGAGCUCUCUAGUGGUUAGAACAGGUGCUGGAGAGAGUUGUGGUUGCAGCUGGAAGAGCAGCAUUCAGUCACCAUCUGCAGAACUGGGCUGCUUCAGAUACAGCAAACGUUCCUGAAAGGGAAAGCAGUUCCCGGUUGGUAGUUGCAUCUGUCAGUUGCACCAGUUACUGGCCAGGACCAUAUCUGUGUAGGUAUAUUGCUACAGACUCUGUUUCAGGCAGAUCUAUAUGCAACAGUGGAUGGUAGGUUGCAUAUAGGGUAGCUGCUUACACAUCCCUCCACAGUCACCAAAAACAAGGUCAAAAGAGGGCACUGAUUUGCAUGAAAUCUGCACGCAUUAAUUUAUGUCUUUCUAUUUAUUUUCAUUAUUUAUUUUGAAGCAUGUAUAAACUGCUUGAUAUUUUAAAAAUCUAAGUGGUGUAUGUACAUUUCUUUUUUAAAAAAGAAAACCCAAUAUCAUUUAAAAAAUACAGCCCAAUACUAAUAAGCAGUAUAAGAGAAUAUAAAAUUGUUUUAAAAAGAAAAAAAGAAAAGAUUACACAGUUCUUUCUACCAUCUCAGGAUUCUCCCAGUCCAUUCCCACUUCAUUCUAUUGCAUGUUUAUCCCAGUGCUCCCCCCACCCAAGGUGAUUGGUGCUGAAAUUGCUGACCAUUUGAUUGAGGCUAUAGGUAAAUUUCCUGAUGUAAGGUUGAGAACAGCACUUGAAAGUGCAGGACUGUAUGGGAGGGUGCAGAAUAGGGGGAGUGCAACCCUGGUAAGUCUUGCGGUGGCUUUUGAUGCCAUGGACCAUGGUAUCCUCCUGAACCAUCUCCAUGAGCUGAGAGCUGGAGGCACUGUGAGUCUGUUUCUGCCUAACUAUGGGGCCAGUCUUGGAUAGUAGCACGGGGUGAUUGUUUUUUGGCUCCCUGACAGUUAUGCCAUGGGGUCCAGUGCUGUUUAACAACUAUAUAAGUAAUUGAGAAUGGGCAUUAAGGAGAUGGAGCACGGUGUCAUCAGUUUACUGUUGAUACUCAGCUCUGUUUCUCUCUUACAUCUUAAUUAGGUGUGGCCCUACAAGCCCUGGACUAAUGUCAAGACACAGUGGUGGGCUGAAUGAGGGCCAAUAAGAUGAAUCAGAAUCCUGAUAAGACGGAGACCCUGUGGACAAAUGGUUCCUUUUUGCAGGAGUUGGAGAAUAUGCAUGUUCUUGAUAGUGUUUACUACAUCUGUGGUCCUUUUUGUCCUCUUUUGGUAAUGCAUUCCCUUUUUUGGUAAAUGUGCAGCUGGCCAGCCUAGAUCUUCACUUGUGUUGUGUGGGCUCAGCUCAUAUCUCUGCAAAGAUCCUUGUACUGCGGACCUGUAUGUCCAAGAGAAGAAUUAUCCUGAAUAAUAGACAAGGAAGUAAAGGAAGUAAAUUUAUGUAAUGCCCUAGACAAGCCUUUCUGUGUGGCAACUUUGUCCUGGUUAAUUUAUGAACUUGCUUCAUUAAUAUCAAUGGACAUAUUUCUUGCACAAACCAGUACAGGCUCUGUGGCAUCAAUAUCUCCUGCACGUUUUUCUACUAAACUUUUAUUGUUUCUUGUGCUCCUGGCUCAUCUCUUUAAAUACCCCCCCCCCCCAUUUCAAUCACUUGAGAGUACCUUAUUUGAGCAAAAUAACUCCUCCAGAAAGGCCCUGGCUUGAUCAAUAAACAAGCAUUGAGCAAAGAUAAAUAAACUUGAAACAGACAUCAUAAUUAACCUGCUCCAGCAAGAACAAAAUGAAUUAGUGAUGAUUGAACGUUUGGC